GACGAAGUAAAUAAGAGCGAACGGAGGAUGCCUUGGCUUCCAUAGGCGAAGAAGGACGCGGUAAGCUGCGAAAAUCUGCGGGGAUUGGCAAACACGAAUUGAUCCGCAGGUGUCCGAAUGGGGAAACCCGGCAGGUUGAAGACCUGUCACCUUAAUAGGAGCAUACCCGGGGAACUGAAACAUCUUAGUACCCGGAGGAAGAGAAAGAAAAAUCGAUUUCCCGAGUAGUGGUGAGCGAAAAGGAAAGAGCCCAAACCGGCGUUGUUACGGCAAUGUCGGGGUUGUAGGACCACAGAAUGAAAUAGAGAUUGAACCGGAAGUGUAUGGAAAUGCACAUCGUAGAGGGUGAUAAUCCCGUACGGGCAAGAUCUUUAUGGAAUAGUGCAAUCCUGAGUACGGCGGGACACGAGGAAUCCUGUCGGAAUCUGCGGGGACCAUCCCGUAAGGCUAAAUAUAGAUGGAAGACCGAUAGAGUACCAGUACUGUGAAGGAAAGGUGAAAAGCACCCCGACAAGGGGAGUGAAAUAGAUCCUGAAACCAUACGCCUACAAGCGGUCGGAGCUGGUUUUUCCAGUGACGGCGUGCCUUUUGCAUAAUGAUCCUACGAGUUACCAUCACCGGCGAGGUUAAGUGACACGAGUCACGUCAGCCGCAGUGAAAGCGAGCCUGAAUAGGGCGU
rnacentral:rRNA from 1 species